AUUGAACGCUGGCGGCGGGCUUAACACAUGCAAGUAGAACGAGUGGCGGACGGGAGAGUAAUGCUUGGGAAUCUGGCUUAUAGAGGGGGAUAACUACGGGAAACUGUAGACAAUACCGCGUACCAUAGGAUGAGCCCAAGUGGGAUUAGGUAGUUGGUGAGGUAAAGGCUGACCAAGACCACGCUCUCUAGCUGGUGUGAGAGGAUGACCAGCCACACUGGGACGGAGACACGGCCCAGACUCCUACGGGAGGCAGCAGUGGGGAAGAUUGCGCAAUGGGGGGAACCUGACGCAGCCAUGCCGCGUGAAUGAAGAAGGUCUUCGGGUUGUAAAGUUCUGUCGGUAGCGAGGCGUUAACUAAAGAAGAAGCACCGGCUAACUCCGUGCCAGCAGCCGCGGUAAUUC
rnacentral:rRNA from 1 species